rnacentral:rRNA from 1 species
GGCAACGCCGGGCCAGGAGCCGGGGUAAUACGGAGGGUCCAAGCGUUAUCCGGAAUCAGUGGGUUUAAAGGGUCCGUAGGCGGCCUUAUAAGUCAGCGUUGAAAGUUUUUGGCUUAACCAAAAAAUUGCCAUUGAUACUGUAGGGCUUGAAUAUUUGUGAAGUAACUAGAAUAUGUAGUGUAGCGGUGAAAUGCUUAGAUAUUACAUGGAAUACCAAUUGCGAAGGCAGGUUACUAACAAAUGAUUGACGCUGAUGGACGAAAGCGUGGGUAGCGAACAGGAUUAGAUACCCUUGUAGUC